GGAGAGGUGGCUCAGAGGUUAAGAGCACUGACUGUUCUUCCAGAGGUCCUGAGUUCAAUUCCCAGCAUCCACA
rfam:Neotoma lepida isolate 417 scaffold_82651, whole genome shotgun sequence.